rnacentral:misc_RNA from 1 species
UUAGUUGAGUUGAGUUGAGUUGUUGAGUUAGUAUUUUCUAAGUUGUUUUUACAUUUCAUUUCUUAAAAAUGCAUUCUGAGGUAAGUGAUUAUGAAAAGAAUCUUUCAACAGUGCAAAAUGGGUAAGAUAAGAAGAUGUUUCAUGAUAAUAUUUAGUAGCAGUAGUUGAGGAAACAAAGUAUGCCAAUAUUUUACUUGGCAAUUUGUAAUAAGAAGCAGCCUUUUGGUUUGUCAACUGUUCAUUAGUAGCUAGAGCUGGUGGUUGAAUUGGUGAAGAGUAUUUUAUCAUAAGGUCAAUUAUUAAGGGCUUAUGUCCCAUGCAAUAUGAUGUCCUUGUAACUUUUUCCAAUUAUAUAUAGUUUUCAUCUUCUAGAUUGUAUUUGUAUUUUAUGGAGAUCUGACCUGGCUAAAAUGUAGUUGUGUGAUACCUAGCUUGGGGGUGGGAGUGGUAUUUCAGCUUCACCUACCUUAUUGGUGUGGAUAGGACCUAAAAGAGAAGCCAAUACAAUGUUAUUAUCCCCUGGACCAUUUUCUAUCUAGUAUGUGUUCUCUAUACCUUGGAAAUGCAUUGCCAUUUCCCUUGUUCGUCAAAGCUGCAUCUGUGUGGAUCAACCCUUGGAGUUUGUCAAAUAAAUUAGGUGUUUUUCUUUUAGUUUUUUCCCCCUAGAGUAUUGUGGGGGUGUUUAUGGUUUCAUCAUCAAUUGUUGUAUAUUCUUUUUUUUUUAUGGGGAAUUAUUUGUUUAUUUGCACUCGCCAAAUGCAUUCUUAAUAUCAUCCACUUCUGCGGAAGAAAGAAUUAGAUUUCAUCUUCAUGCGGUCUUUCAGAAUCAGUUGGCUAGUUUUAUGCUCCUUCUCUACCAAUUUAUUUUAAAGAAUGUUUCAUUUCCCUUGUUAAAGUUUCUAGGUGUGCAGCCGGUGGCAGGCUAACACUUGUUCCUGAUUUCAUAUUAAAGAAUUAUUUAUUUAAUUGCACUAUCUGAGUGCAUUCACUGUCUCAUCCACUUCACUGACUUACUGAGUGGAUAAUAUUUUGUGAAAGAGUUUAGAUUUAUAUUCAUGCAGUCUUUCACAAUCAGUUGGCCACCUUGUGAUGCUACUGAAAUGUUCUAUGCACCUUUUCCUGUUAUUUUAUUUUAAAGAA